rnacentral:tRNA from 1 species
GGGGGUGUGGCUCAGUAGUAGAGUAUCUGCUUUCCAUGCAGAAGGUCCAAGGUUCAAGUUCUGUUACUCUCU